rnacentral:rRNA from 1 species
CCUACGGGAGGCAGCAGUGGGGAAUAUUGGGCAAUGGGCGCAAGCCUGACCCAGCAACGCCGCGUGAAGGAAGAAGGCUUUCGGGUUGUAAACUUCUUUUAAGAGGGAAGAGCAGAAGACGGUACCUCUUGAAUAAGCCACGGCUAACUACGUGCCAGCAGCCGCGGUAAUACGUUGGUGGCAAGCGUUGUCCGGCUUUACUGGGGGUAAAGGGCGUGCAGCCGGGAAGACAAGUCAGAUGGGAAAUCCCGCGGCUCAACCGCGGAACUGCAUUUGACACUGGUUUUCUUGAGUACCGGAGAGGUGAUCGGAAUUCCUGGUGUAGCGGUGAAAUGCGUAGAUAUAAGGAAGAACACCAGUGGCGAAGGCGGAUGACUGGACGGCAACUGACGGUGAGGCGCGAAAGCGUGGGGAGCAAACAGGAUUAGAUACCCUUGUAGUC